ACCUUGCCUAUUACCCCAACCGUCGACACCUCUCUGCCCCCUUUCUCAUUUCCAAACUUUAGCAAACCCUAAUUCUCUUCCUCUCUGAAUAAGCGCCGGAAAUGGCUUGCUUCGCUUGUUUUUGUCGCCAUCACUGGAGCUCGUCUGGUUCGAGUCAUCGUCGGAACGGAGGUGGAGGUGGAGGUGUCGCCUCUGUGAUUUCCCCCCCUCUCGGCUGCUUUGCAGUGGUGUGCAUCGCCAUCUGCCGCCAGCCAGUUCCGCCGACUUGCCACGCUGUGGAUAUCUCGCCGACGACCGCCAGCCAGCUCCGAUUCUCCGUUCGAGCAACGGUUCUGCCCGCGGCUACCUCCGCCGGCGUGCUCGCCGUCGAUCUAGCCUCGCGGCGUCGCUCGGCUUCCAUCAUCCAUCGUCGGACAACCUUCCCUAAGCUAAGUCACCCUUUUAACCCCUUCACUGUCUAGUUUACCAUUUAUGCAUAUCUGAAACGAUGUUUAGAUAGUAGUUGGGUUCAAGAGGUUGCUUAUGGCUAUCCUUGUUCUAAACAUGUGCUGCAAAAGAUCGCUAAAUAAGGGCUUAGGGCAGUAGCUAAACCGAGUUUCCUUGGCAGUAAAGCUCCUACAAAAGUGGUUCUAGGUUCUUAGGUAAACAUGAGCUCUAUCAUGCUUAAGUUCCUGGAACGAUGGAGUCUUAACAUGCUUGUGAUGUAUAACUGAUGCUAUGAGUGAUAUGAGCUUUAGAUCUUGGUGUUGGAUGGAUUACCUGAGAGGUUUGUGGUUGGGUUGUAACACGUCCCUUAGACUUUGGCUCUCGGUUCCUGCCCUGGUCUCUGCUCCUCUCACUCUUUAUCUUGCCAGAAUUUCAACAAAUGGUUGUGGAGGAGGUAAGGGCUGGGGUUAUACUCUUUUAUAGACUAUUGUGUAACUGAAAGCUGCACAAUAUCUGAUGUACUUGGUUGGAAAAGGAUUUCACAGGUUGUGCGGUUUGUUACUCUUCCUGCAGCUUUGCAGAGCGUGUACUUUGAGUCCUUGUUCCUUCCUAACUAAUCUUGGGGCUGGUGUACUCGUGGUUUUAGUGGAGUUGCUGAGUCCAUGCAAUGCUCCACACCCGUUAACUGCUUUUGGCCUAUUGUGUAGUCUAGUACUAAACUCAUUUAUGAAUUCUCGUCCCUUGUUGCAGGUGCACUCAGGAGAUGGCACUUUGUGGCUGUUUUCCUUGACCAUAGCAGGUCUAACGGACGUGGUACGGGCUGCCAUCUGUAGCCUUACAGUGCAGCAGUUGGAGGGGAGGAAUUUGUUAGCUGAUCUUGCCCUUCUCGGCCCAGCUCUUCCUCAUAUUUCUGAAAGGCAUUGGCAGCGUCAAGCGGCUAGCCGCGGAGAAGGUGCUCCCUUGAUGCCUCGCCCAUUCGGGCUUUCUGAAAUCUGGGCCGAGGUGGCCUAUUUGAUGAAGAUCGACAUAGUUGCUAGGAACUCAACCAUGUGGCUAGACUUAAACUUGUUUCCCAAUUGUACGAAAAUUCGAUGAUAGUUGGUGCAUGUUUCUUUCUAGAAAUAGUAAUUUAUUAGUUUUGAAAUUUUGGAAUUUGUAUUAAUACUUUUAUUCAAGGAAUAAACAUACUCAUUCAUUCUUUA